GGCCGGAUGGUACAGCUGGUCAGUAUCUCCAUUCUCGAGGGCUGGUCCCAGGACGGGUUUCCUUAGGAGUUUGUUGAGGCUGGGUUCGAAUCCCAGGCCGGCCG